UUCUAUAGUACCGUCAAACUUUGGCGUUACCCAAAGCAGUUCUUCCUAUAGGACAGAGCUUUACAAUCCGAAGACCUUCCUCACUCACGUGGCAUUGCUGCGUCAGGGUUUCCCCCAUUGCGCAAUAUUCCCU
rnacentral:rRNA from 1 species